AUUAAUCUCCCUUUAAUUCCUUCCAAAUCCACUACUCCUAAGUAAGGAAUUAAUUCAAACACUUCCCCUCCUUGCUGGCCGAAAUUCCCCACAGCUGUUGGCUCAUUUUUCCUUCCCAAAUCCCUUCCAAAGCUGCAGGAAAACUGCUGCCCAACAUCUCAAUUUGCUGUUUGGAAAUUCCUGCAGCAGCCCACCGACGUCCAGCCAUCCCGGGAGCGACAAUGGCUGUCCAGAUCUCAGGGACAGCCCUUCUUCCUGUCUAGAAGUUUCCCUGAGCUCAAUAGGUUGUUAUCCUGUUGACCACAACAAACUAGGGUGCUGUCCAGCCGUCCAAAACCAGUCCUAGCUGCUGUCUUGAGGAGAUCUAGUGUCGUCCAGCCGCCCGAAGAGACUCCCAUUGCUGCUGAGUGGUUCCAGAAGUUUGAAGGCUGCUGCCCCUUCAUUCCAGCCAUCGUCAUAGCUUCAUAACUCCUUUUUUUUGGGACCUGGGCGGAAAUGCAACCUAUAUAUUUUACGGUACAGAAGAGGCAAAUGAGGGAAAGAGGGCUUUCAUGGAGCGUCGAAGUCCUGACUAUUCUAAAUUCCCAAGAAGACCUUAGCAUUAUCUUUCUGAAUCAUGUUUGUCAUAUUCUACUGAGGCAAAACUGCUCUCAGACCAUUUUUCUAAUUCAGUGUAGCUAAUUUAAUAUUUCAUUGCAAACUUCAACAUUCUAUUUUUAUUAUUUUUAGCAAAAAUUUAUGUAUUAUCUAACAUUUGAGUAUCCAUAUUUAUUUAUAUAACAUUUUAGUGUC